rnacentral:rRNA from 1 species
GGGUUGUGAGGUUAAGCGACUAAGCGUACACGGUGGAUGCCCUGGCAGUCAGAGGCGAUGAAGGACGUGCUAAUCUGCGAUAAGCGUCGGUAAGGUGAUAUGAACCGUUAUAACCGGCGAUUUCCGAAUGGGGAAACCCAGUGUGAUUCGUCACACUAUCAUUAACUGAAUCCAUAGGUUAAUGAGGCGAACCGGGGGAACUGAAACAUCUAAGUACCCCGAGGAAAAGAAAUCAACCGAGAUUCCCCCAGUAGCGGCGAGCGAACGGGGAGCAGCCCAGAGCCUGAAUCAGUGUGUGUGUUAGUGGAAGCGUCUGGAAAGGCGUGCGAUACAGGGUGACAGCCCCGUACACAAAAAUGCACAUGCUGUGAGCUCGAUGAGUAGGGCGGGACACGUGGUAUCCUGUCUGAAUAUGGGGGGACCAUCCUCCAAGGCUAAAUACUCCUGACUGACCGAUAGUGAACCAGUACCGUGAGGGAAAGGCGAAAAGAACCCCGGCGAGGGGAGUGAAAAAGAACCUGAAACCGUGUACGUACAAGCAGUGGGAGCACGCUUAGGCGUGUGACUGCGUACCUUUUGUAUAAUGGGUCAGCGACUUAUAUUCUGUAGCAAGGUUAACCGAAUAGGGGAGCCGAAGGGAAACCGAGUCUUAACUGGGCGUUAAGUUGCAGGGUAUAGACCCGAAACCCGGUGAUCUAGCCAUGGGCAGGUUGAAGGUUGGGUAACACUAACUGGAGGACCGAACCGACUAAUGUUGAAAAAUUAGCGGAUGACUUGUGGCUGGGGGUGAAAGGCCAAUCAAACCGGGAGAUAGCUGGUUCUCCCCGAAAGCUAUUUAGGUAGCGCCUCGUGAAUUCAUCUCCGGGGGUAGAGCACUGUUUCGGCAAGGGGGUCAUCCCGACUUACCAACCCGAUGCAAACUGCGAAUACCGGAGAAUGUUAUCACGGGAGACACACGGCGGGUGCUAACGUCCGUCGUGAAGAGGGAAACAACCCAGACCGCCAGCUAAGGUCCCAAAGUCAUGGUUAAGUGGGAAACGAUGUGGGAAGGCCCAGACAGCCAGGAUGUUGGCUUAGAAGCAGCCAUCAUUUAAAGAAAGCGUAAUAGCUCACUGGUCGAGUCGGCCUGCGCGGAAGAUGUAACGGGGCUAAACCAUGCACCGAAGCUGCGGCAGCGACGCUUAUGCGUUGUUGGGUAGGGGAGCGUUCUGUAAGCCUGCGAAGGUGUGCUGUGAGGCAUGCUGGAGGUAUCAGAAGUGCGAAUGCUGACAUAAGUAACGAUAAAGCGGGUGAAAAGCCCGCUCGCCGGAAGACCAAGGGUUCCUGUCCAACGUUAAUCGGGGCAGGGUGAGUCGACCCCUAAGGCGAGGCCGAAAGGCGUAGUCGAUGGGAAACAGGUUAAUAUUCCUGUACUUGGUGUUACUGCGAAGGGGGGACGGAGAAGGCUAUGUUGGCCGGGCGACGGUUGUCCCGGUUUAAGCGUGUAGGCUGGUUUUCCAGGCAAAUCCGGAAAAUCAAGGCUGAGGCGUGAUGACGAGGCACUACGGUGCUGAAGCAACAAAUGCCCUGCUUCCAGGAAAAGCCUCUAAGCAUCAGGUAACAUCAAAUCGUACCCCAAACCGACACAGGUGGUCAGGUAGAGAAUACCAAGGCGCUUGAGAGAACUCGGGUGAAGGAACUAGGCAAAAUGGUGCCGUAACUUCGGGAGAAGGCACGCUGAUAUGUAGGUGAAGUCCCUCGCGGAUGGAGCUGAAAUCAGUCGAAGAUACCAGCUGGCUGCAACUGUUUAUUAAAAACACAGCACUGUGCAAACACGAAAGUGGACGUAUACGGUGUGACGCCUGCCCGGUGCCGGAAGGUUAAUUGAUGGGGUUAGCGCAAGCGAAGCUCUUGAUCGAAGCCCCGGUAAACGGCGGCCGUAACUAUAACGGUCCUAAGGUAGCGAAAUUCCUUGUCGGGUAAGUUCCGACCUGCACGAAUGGCGUAAUGAUGGCCAGGCUGUCUCCACCCGAGACUCAGUGAAAUUGAACUCGCUGUGAAGAUGCAGUGUACCCGCGGCAAGACGGAAAGACCCCGUGAACCUUUACUAUAGCUUGACACUGAACAUUGAGCCUUGAUGUGUAGGAUAGGUGGGAGGCUUUGAAGUGUGGACGCCAGUCUGCAUGGAGCCGACCUUGAAAUACCACCCUUUAAUGUUUGAUGUUCUAACGUUGACCCGUAAUCCGGGUUGCGGACAGUGUCUGGUGGGUAGUUUGACUGGGGCGGUCUCCUCCUAAAGAGUAACGGAGGAGCACGAAGGUUGGCUAAUCCUGGUCGGACAUCAGGAGGUUAGUGCAAUGGCAUAAGCCAGCUUGACUGCGAGCGUGACGGCGCGAGCAGGUGCGAAAGCAGGUCAUAGUGAUCCGGUGGUUCUGAAUGGAAGGGCCAUCGCUCAACGGAUAAAAGGUACUCCGGGGAUAACAGGCUGAUACCGCCCAAGAGUUCAUAUCGACGGCGGUGUUUGGCACCUCGAUGUCGGCUCAUCACAUCCUGGGGCUGAAGUAGGUCCCAAGGGUAUGGCUGUUCGCCAUUUAAAGUGGUACGCGAGCUGGGUUUAGAACGUCGUGAGACAGUUCGGUCCCUAUCUGCCGUGGGCGCUGGAGAAUUGAGGGGGGCUGCUCCUAGUACGAGAGGACCGGAGUGGACGCAUCACUGGUGUUCGGGUUGUCAUGCCAAUGGCACUGCCCGGUAGCUAAAUGCGGAAGAGAUAAGUGCUGAAAGCAUCUAAGCACGAAACUUGCCCCGAGAUGAGUUCUCCCUGACUCCUUGAGAGUCCUGAAGGAACGUUGAAGACGACGACGUUGAUAGGCCGGGUGUGUAAGCGCAGCGAUGCGUUGAGCUAACCGGUACUAAUGAACCGUGAGGCUUAACCUUACAACGCCGAAG